rnacentral:rRNA from 1 species
GACGAACGCUGGCGGCGUGCUUAACACAUGCAAGUCGAACGGAAAGGCCCUGCUUUUGUGGGGUGCUCGAGUGGCGAACGGGUGAGUAACACGUGAGUAACCUGCCCUUGACUUUGGGAUAACUUCAGGAAACUGGGGCUAAUACCGGAUAGGAGAUCCUGCUCCAUGGGGGGGGUUGGAAAGUUUGGGCGGUUGGGGAUGGACUCGCGGCUUAUCAGCUUGUUGGUGGGGUAGUGGCUUACCAAGGUUUUGAAGGGUAGCCGGCCUGAGAGGGUGACCGGCCACAUUGGGACUGAGAUACGGCCCAGACUCCUACGGGAGGCAGCAGUGGGGAAUAUUGCACAAUGGGCGGAAGCCUGAUGCAGCAACGCCGCGUGCGGGAUGACGGCCUUCGGGUUGUAAACCGCUUUCGCCUGUGACGAAGCGUGAGUGACGGUAAUGGGUAAAGAAGCACCGGCUAACUACGUG